rnacentral:rRNA from 1 species
AACAAACGCUGGCGGCGUGCCUAAUACAUGCAAGUCGAACGGGGAAAGUAGCAAUAUGAGUACUAGUGGCGCACGGGUGAGGAAUACAUGGGUAAUCUGCCUUCAAGUUUGGGAUAACCAGUCGAAAGAUUGGCUAAUACCGGAUAAGACCACGGGAUCUGCGGAUCCAGAGGUCAAAGGUUUUUCGCUUGAAGAUGAGCCCAUGUGGGAUUAGCUAGUUGGUGAGGUAAUGGCUCACCAAGGCGACGAUCCCUAACUGGUCUUAGAGGAUGAUCAGUCACACUGGAACUGAGACACGGUCCAGACUCCUACGGGAGGCAGCAGUAGGGAAUAUUGCGCAAUGGGGGAAACCCUGACGCAGCGACGCCGCGUGAGUGAUGAAGGCCUUCGGGUCGUAAAGCUCUGUCGUAUGGGACUAACAAAAUGAAGGUACCACGCAAGAAAGGAUCGGCUAACUUCGUGCCAGCAGCCGCCGUAA